GGGGCGGCUCAGGAGAGCGAGGCUGGAUGGAAGCUGUCCAUUCCACUGUCCAACCAGUGCCGGCGCUCCUCCCUGCACACAUCAUGCUGCAGGCAGCUGAGCGGGCACUGCAGUUCCACCUGUGCCACCCACUGCCUCUUGCCUGCUUCUGCAGGGCCAGCCAAGCAGGUGUGUGUCCCCAUUUAACCCGUAGGAAGGAGAGGCAUGGAGCAGCAUGAGGCUCACGAUCACACAGUAAACCAAGGCCAGGGCCGAGAUGGUCUUCUGACGUGCCCUCUAGACCUGUUAGAUGAAUUCUAACUACUUCACCCAGGUUCUCUAGUUUCUGUCUGGUCCUCAGGUGAGAUCACCAGCUUCCUGGUCCGCCUGCACCAACUUCCUUUUCUGCUCUGCUGUUUAUAACGUGUCAGUGGAGAAUCGGCCACCGCAUUUUCAUGUUGAAGAGCCUAACUCCUUUGUUAUUCAGCAUGACAGCUAAUAAGGUCUUGUCUGAUGGAUUCGUGGCUGAGUUUAGGUCCAGGAAGUACUGUGUCCAUUGAUCAGUUUCUGUGCUGUCCUCUUGCUGGAGAACACACCUGUUUGGCUUGGCUGCUCUCCCUCUUGGCCAGGAGCCCUGGUCACCAAGCCACAGCUGGACCCCAGCUACCAGCCAGCUCUGGGGCCCCGUAAGGCCUUCUUUCCUUUAAAUGGCCUUUGUUCUAUUUGAUCCCUGAAUGCUUUAUCUUGAACUUCAUUUUAACAUGUACACCAGCUGCCCACAAUCCCCUUGGAAGAAAGCUGGAUAUCAAUUAUGAAAAAAAUAAGACUGGGAGUGGUGGCUCACGCCUGUAAUCCCAGCGCUUUGGGAGGCCAAGGCAGGCAGAUCACCUGAGGUCAGGAGUUUGAGACCAGCCUGGCCAAUGUGGUGAAACCCCGUCUCUACUAAAAAUACAAAAAACUAGCCGGGCAUAGUGGCGGGCACCUGUAAUCCCAGUUACUUGGGAGGCCGAGACAGGAGGAUCUCUUGAACCCAGGAGGCGGAAGUUUCAGUGAGCCAAGAUCACACCAUUGCACUCCAGCCUGGGCGACAGAGCAAGACUCCAUCUCAAAAAAAAAAAAAAAAAAAAGAAUAAAAGAAAGAAUUGGAUGACAGUUUGCAAGAGGCUCCAAAGGAGAUCAGGGAAGGGCUGCACAUCGGGUCUUAAUGCUGGCAUGGGGAGAGGGGGCACAGAGUCCCUGAGUGACUGGCCUGCUUCCACACUAAGACCCAAAACCUUGUGUGCUUGAGGACAAUGCAGUUCGAAUCACGCCACUGGAAUUUUCUGUAUUUGCUUCUGGACUUGAACAUUUGGACAAUGUCUACAAUUGCAUUCUUUGUAAUGCUUUUGUGUUGAAAUAUCGUUUUGACCCUCAAAUCAUCCACAUAUUGUCUUUAAAAAUGGCAAAAGGUAUUUCCAUAUGGUUUAUGUGAUCUGUUAAUUCAUAAAAGUGUUGAGUGGAAUUUAUCACAUACGGUUAAUGCUUUGUGCUGCUUCUGUUUCUAGAGCCUGAAAUCUGGCUGUUACUUCACUCUCUGUAGGGGUCUGGGGACAUGAAUUAAGAUGCCCUUCUCUAUGGAGUGCCUUGUUUGGGAGAGUUUGAACGAAGCACAAUAGUUGGUUUUGCUCUCAAGAUACCCACAGAUAAUGCUAAUCCAGGAGGAGUCCCCAAGGUGGCGGAUUGCUUUCUUCUGUUCCCUCUUUUUCCCAGAUCAGCAGGAGGCCGGCCUCCAGGGCAAGUCCAUUCUGAAGCCGCCAACGUUCCAGUUACAGUCGCUGGGAGGCCUAGUUCCUCUGUCUGCAGGGGGAGCUCUUCACAGUCCUGGAGCAGCCACCGGCCACCCUGCCUGGGAUCUCAGCCAGCUCUCAAAAACAACAGUAAAUGGAAAAUAAAAAGCACCAUGACAAGUCGAAAAAGAGACUGCAGAAGAAACAAGCUCGCUGAGUACCACGAUGCACACGUCCCCCUGCUUUGGGAAUAAAGGCUACCACACUUUUAUUUCUCACUGGGCCUCAUAGAUCCUGUAGCCAGCCCUGCAGGCCAAGAUUGACUGGCCCAAAGGGACCAGUCUGGAAAUUUGGAUCUGGGACAAAAAAAAAAGUUUUUCUCCAGCAGGUGGCGAUUGAACACAGGGAAGUGGAGACCCAUUGUUGCCACAUUCGGCCUUGUGGAUUAAUGAGCAGUAAACAGCAGUUGGCCUCAAGAAAGAAGAAAUGAAUCAGAUGUAUACAACAAAGCAGAAGCAAAGGACAGAGAGACCAUUUCUUGGUGCCCCAUAGAGUUCCAGUUCCUGUUGCCAUCUGCUCCUGGCAGGUAGCCCUGUGGGUGGCAUCUUGGUCCCUUCCAACAAGUUCUCACUUGCGGCUGAAGUUAGCAACAUUCUGAAUUCCAUUGUCUGCAACCAAACGAAUCUUAACAAAUGCAGGAAUAUGCAUGCAUCAAACAAGAAACAGAGGUGCGGUACACAAAAAUAGGGAACUAUAUCUCAAAAAGAAAAACUGGAUCUGGGAGCAGCAUCCCUAAUGGGUAAAUGGUGUUGGUUCCCCAAAGAAAACUGUAUGGCUUGUAAGUUGUCACGGUUUGUCAAAGAAAGAAAAAUUUUAAAGAUAGGCUAAGCGAAUUUUGUGUUAGAAAAUCAAAGUCUUUACUCUUUCCCUAGAUGGGCUUUUCUCUUUUUAACUGUGCUUCUAGGCUUUUAGAUCAAGAUGCACAUGUAGGCCAGGUGCGGUGGCUCACGCCUGUAAUCCCAGCACUUUGGGAGGCCGAGGUGGGUGGAUCAC